AUUAAGCAGCGAACUGGCUAAUGCUGCUUAUGCUUUUUACCUUUUUUUUUUCACAAUGAACAGUGUAGUUUUCAUCAUAUUGCACUCUUAUUUUUCAUUAUGUACAUGCCUGCAAUUCGCAGCUCGCUGCUUUUGUUGUUGUAUGGCAUUGUUGUUUUGCCUUCAUUUGUUUUGUCUGGUCCUUUGUAGUUUGAAUCUUGUCACAUGAUCCAAAUAUUUAUUUUUUUACUAGCUCCAAGAUCACCACCCCAUUGGGAAGAAACUAAAUCACGACUCCCAAAUGGUAGUCUUCCCAUACAGAUACAGAGAUGUCACACAGAUCCAAGUGGAAAAAACAUUGACAGUCAAUCAACAGGGGGACAUGGAAAGUGCUGGAAGGUUGGAAGUGAAAUAGAGGGUUUUCCGGGACAGCCAUAGGGGAAGGACUGUGGCAUCUUCCUGUUGAUGGUAGGUGAGUUUAACUGUCCAAUUUUGUCCUCUGUGAUAUUUGUAUUCAUUUAUCUAUUUGUAGUAUGCUCUUUGCACUGUUCUGGAUGCUCUCUUUGAGUUUAACCAUUGCAAAUUGAAGUUCACCGAAUCAUUCAAAUUGGGCUACAAAAUAUCCUUGUCGCUAUUCUUUAUUUACCCUUGUUUUUAAUUUUUGUUAGACUGAUAUGCCAACUCUGAGGAAGUGGUGGUGUAUAUUGCUAGCGAACAAUUUCAAACUUGGGUUCAUGUUAAGUCUUUGAAACUGUUGAUAUAACAUUCAUAGGAAAGCUGGUGCACAGCACCUUAAUUUUUUGUUGGAAAUUGUGGAGUACUUAUUUUUGUGUUUUUUCAACUUAUGUGAGCCACAUGAAAGAGUUUGCCCAUUGGACCGAUAAGGCAACAGCAUCACUCCAGGGUGAAGUGCCACCAGUCUAUCAGUUGAAGAAGUGAAAUUUGGAUAUAAUUGCUGAGAGGUGCAACCACAGCUCCUUCAAGUUAGUGGUUGCCCACUGCAAGAAGAUAUGGCAGGAAAAAAAGUGAACAGUUUUGGUAAAAUUAUUGUGCAAGACAGCACAAAAGCCUCAGACAAGGUUAGG